rnacentral:rRNA from 1 species
UACGUAGGGGGCAAGCGUUAUCCGGAUUUACUGGGUUUAAAGGGUGUGUAGGCGGGCUUUUAAGUCAGUGGUGAAAUCUCCGGGCUCAACCCGGAAACUGCCAUUGAUACUAUUAGUCUUGAAUUUUGUUGAGGUAGGCGGAAUAAGUCAUGUAGCGGUGAAAAUGCAUAGAUAUGACUUAGAACACCAAUUGCGAAGGCAGCUUGCUAAACAAAUAUUGACGCUGAGGCACGAAAGCGUGGGGAUCAAACAGG